rnacentral:rRNA from 1 species
AGUGAACGCUGGCGGUAGGCCUAACACAUGCAAGUCGAACGGCAGCACAGUAAGAGCUUGCUCUUACGGGUGGCGAGUGGCGGACGGGAGAGGAAUACAUCGGAAUCUACUUUUUCGUGGGGGAUAACGUAGGGAAACUUACGCUAAUACCGCAUACGACCUACGGGUGAAAGCAGGGGAUCUUCGGACCUUGCGCGAUUGAAUGAGCCGAUGUCGGAUUAGCUAGUUGGCGGGGUAAAGGCCCACCAAGGCGACGAUCCGUAGCUGGUCUGAGAGGAUGAUCAGCCACACUGGAACUGAGACACGGUCCAGACUCCUACGGGAGGCAGCAGUGGGGAAUAUUGGACAAAGGGCGCAAGCCUGAUCCAGCCAUACCGCGUGGGUGAAGAAGGCCUUCGGGUUGUAAAGCCCUUUUGUUGGGAAAGAAAAGCAGCAGGUUAAUACCCCGCUGUUCUGACGGUACCCAAAGAAUAAGCACCGGCUAACUUCGUG